GGGGUUCAAGCUAGUGGGAUUAAAGACUUGAAAUUAUUCCCGACGUUGGAGGAAAAUCUACAGAUUCUGAAGUUUUCUAUGGUCGUAGCAAUGGCAGCACUAAUUUCAUGAUGUGAAGUAAUUUCCUCCUGUUUCUCUGUUUUCUCUCUAAGAUAGGCGGAAGGAGGAAGAUGGAGCAAGGUUUGGUCGAUUCGAGUUUGAGGUGAAUAAACUAAGGGUUUCUCGCGAUGACUGCACAUAGCGGAUGAGUACAGAGGUUGGUGGCCUUACAGCACACGCGUCGGAGGAGAGGAUCGGAAAAGAAUACAGCAGCUUCUGAGGAAACCCAUAUGUUCAAGAUUAUUGGAUUAGAGAAGAUAUUCUUGAUUGAGUUGUCAAUGUAUGUGCCAAGUCCAUCUCGGACAUUACCGUCCAUCGAUCUCGGACAUUACCGUCCAUCUGAUGACUGCCUUGACGCCUUUCUUUCAGUUUUAAAGGAUAAUGGUAUAGACCUCAGUGAAGUUGAGAGAUGGGUUUCACGAAGAAAGAGUAUGAAUUUCUUAUUAUGUGAGCGGAAAUUGAAAAUUCCUAUAAUUAUCUCACACCUUAUCUUUGCUCCGCUUUAAUUUGUUGAAUUUCAAGGCGAAAGAGGGAGAAACCGAGAAGAAUAAAUGGAGGGUUGUGACUUGUGAGCAAGCUCAACUCGGUCAAUUCAAGGAGGAGAUUAAACGUCGUGCUUUGAUUCAUAAGGAUAAAGCUAGCUAUUCACAUCGUUUUAUAAAUAAUUGAAACCCGAUGGGAGAAUUUUAAUCAUUGGUUACUGCAAGAAUGCUGGUAUACAUACACCCAUCACAACAACGCCUGAAUUUGUUGCAUAUAUUAAGCAGACUGGAUGUGAUCUCUAUGAUGUGUAGGCAAGUGUCUAGGUUUUAUUCUCAGUUCCCCAUCUUCGAAAUCAGAAUUUCUUACUAUUAGCAUAUAUACUGAUGAUGUAUUCAUUCGUUCCAAAUACUUAUGAGAUGCAGUCGAGAAAGAAAAAGAAAGAUUUGUUACAAACAUUAGAGUUUGUUCAUUUUGUUGAGAAAUCAUUAAAGAACUAAUCGUUGUCGAUGUCUCUGAUUUGUUUUUACAAGUAUUCUCAGUUAUAACUUAUGAAUCAUGUAUGCAUCAUGUGUAAUUUGACAAUUAUUAAUAAAGGUUGAAACUUGUACACCAAA